rnacentral:rRNA from 1 species
UACAGAGGUCUCAAGCGUUGUUCGGAUUCAUUGGGCGUAAAGGGUGCGUAGGCGGCGCGGUAAGUCGGGUGUGAAAUCUCGUAGCUUAACUCCGAAACUGCAUUCGAUACUGCCGUGCUUGAGGACUGGAGAGGAGACUGGAAUUUACGGUGUAGCGGUGAAAUGCGUAGAUAUCGAGAGGAACACCUGCGGCGAAGGCGGGUUGCUGGGCUGACACUGACGCUGAGGCGCGAAAGCCAGGGGAGCGAACAGG